rnacentral:tRNA from 1 species
CGGGAUGUAGCGCGGUCCGGUAACGCAUCCCGACUUUUGAGUCGGGAGGGUCCCAGUGCCUGUCCCGAAUUCCUAUCGGGAUUCGAAUCCUGGUAUCCCGA